rnacentral:rRNA from 1 species
UCACCAAGGCGACGACGGGUAGCCGGCCUGAGAGGGUGACCGGCCACACUGGGACUGAGACACGGCCCAGACUCCUACGGGAGGCAGCAGUGGGGAAUAUUGCACAAUGGGCGAAAGCCUGAUGCAGCAACGCCGCGUGAGGGAUGACGGCCUUCGGGUUGUAAACCUCUUUUAGUAGGGAAGAAGCGAAAGUGACGGUACCUGCAGAAAAAGCACCGGCUAACUACGUGCCAGCAGCCGCGGUAAUACGUAGGGUGCAAGCGUUGUCCGGAAUUAUUGGGCGUAAAGAGCUCGUAGGCGGUUUGUCGCGUCUGCUGUGAAAUCCCGAGGCUCAACCUCGGGCUUGCAGUGGGUACGGGCAGACUAGAGUGCGGUAGGGGAGAUUGGAAUUCCUGGUGUAGCGGUGGAAUGCGCAGAUAUCAGGAGGAACACCGAUGGCGAAGGCAGAUCUCUGGGCCGUAACUGACGCUGAGGAGCGAAAGCAUGGGGAGCGAACAGGAUUAG